rnacentral:rRNA from 1 species
UACGAAGGGGGCUAGCGUUGUUCGGAUUUACUGGGCGUAAAGCGCGCGCAGGCGGCUAUCCAAGUCAGUGGUGAAAGCCCGGAGCUCAACUCCGGAACUGCCAUUGAAACUGUUUAGCUUGAGGAUGAGAGAGGUGAGUGGAAUUCCCAGUGUAGAGGUGAAAUUCGUAGAUAUUGGGAAGAACACCGGUGGCGAAGGCGGCUCACUGGCUCAUUACUGACGCUCAGGCGCGAUAGCGUGGGAUCAAACAGG